UGUCAUCCUUCGAGGACCACCAGUUGCGAAGGCGCCACACUGGAACGGAUCCGACGGUCAGGGACGAAGCCUAGGGGCACGAACCGGAUUAGAUACCCGGGUAGUCCUAGAUGUAAACGCUGUGAACUUGGUGUCGGGGGUCCGCAAGGGGUCCCCGGUGCCGGAGUGAAGAUGUUAAGUUCACUGCCUGGGGAGUACGGUCGCAAGGCUGAAACUUAAAGGAAUUGGCGGGGGAGCACUGCAACGGGAGGAGCGUGCGGUUUAAUUGGAG
rnacentral:rRNA from 1 species